GAUGAACGCUGGCGGCGUGCCUAAUACAUGCAAGUCGAGCGAACAGACGAGGAGCUUGCUCCUCUGACGUUAGCGGCGGACGGGUGAGUAACACGUGGAUAACCUACCUAUAAGACUGGGAUAACUUCGGGAAACCGGAGCUAAUACCGGAUAAUAUCUUGAACCGCAUGGUUCAAUAGUGAAAGACGGUUUUGCUGUCACUUAUAGAUGGAUCCGCGCCGCAUUAGCUAGUUGGUAAGGUAACGGCUUACCAAGGCGACGAUGCGUAGCCGACCGGAGAGGGUGAUCGGCCACACUGGAACUGAGACACGGUCCAGACUCCUACGGGAGGCAGCAGUAGGGAAUCUUCCGCAAUGGGCGAAAGCCUGACGGAGCAACGCCGCGUGAGUGAUGAAGGUCUUCGGAUCGUAAAACUCUGUUAUUAGGGAAGAACAAAUGUGUAAGUAACUAUGCACGUCUUGACGGUACCUAAUCAGAAAGCCACGGCUAACUACGUG
rnacentral:rRNA from 1 species